AGACUACAUGUAGUCAGAGAAUUAUACCUCAAUGGUUAAGCAACCAAGCAAAGAAAAAUCAAGUUCAAAAGAACUCAAAGCAACUUAUGUACCUGAAAAAAAUCUAACCCAAUCAGUAUAUAAUUCAAAUAAACAGGCAGACAACAGUCAAUCACACAAUCAGACAGAUAAGCAAGCAAUGCAACAAUGUGCAAGGCACAAGCUAUUAAGCCACUUGGUCUCAAAGCCUACAAAACAAACUCAAGGUUA
rnacentral:lncRNA from 1 species